rnacentral:lncRNA from 1 species
CGGAUUAUUGGUGGGUUUAUGCACCAGAACAUACUUUUAGUGUCAAGGAAGAGUGCGUGGGUUGUCUAGUGCAGAUUGGCGAUUAGAUUAUGCCAGCGGACUUGCUUGUUUUGAACCAGAUGUGGGGUUUCGAUGUUAUCCUUGGAAUCGAUUAGCUCUCAAAGUAUUAUGCAGUAACAUAUUGAAACCCGAUAGCGAUUAUCGAACUUUACCCAAAAUUGGGUUAAAGCGCCGAGAGAAAUAGUUGGACAAGUUCCAAUUAGCUUUCCAACUAUGUUGGAAGGGUUAGAAAUGAGUUUAAGAGAGGUUAGAAAGGUUUUAGCAUCGACCGGCACGAAGUAGAGUCGAAUCGGAGCCAAAAUAGCAUUCUGG